GACGAACGCUGGCGGCGUGCUUAACACAUGCGAGUCGAACGGAAAGGCCCUGCUUUUGUGGGGUGCUCGAGUGGCGAACGGGUGAGUAACACGUGAGUAACCUGCCCUUGACUUUGGGAUAACUUCAGGAAACUGGAGCUAAUACCGGAUAGGAGCUCCUGCUGCAUGGUGGGGGUUGGAAAGUUUCGGCGGUUGGGGAUGGACGCGCGGCUGAUGAGCUUGUUGGUGGGGGAGGGGCUUACCAAGGCUUUGACGGGUAGCCGGCCUGGGAGGGUGACCGGCCACAUUGGGACUGAGAUACGGCCCAGACUCCUACGGGAGGCAGCAGUGGGGAAUAUUGCCCAAUGGGCGCAAGCCUGAUGCAGCAACGCCGCGUGCGGGAUGACGGCCUUCGGGUUGUAAACCGCUUUCGCCUGUGACGAAGCGUGAGUGACGGUAAUGGGUAAAGAAGCACCGGCUAACUACGUG
rnacentral:rRNA from 1 species